AUGGCUGCUCCUUCCACCGAGCGCUCGCUCAAUUUCGACGUGAUCGUCGUCGGCGCGGGCCUCAUGGGCAGCUGCGCGGCGCACGCGGCGGCGUCCCGCGGCGCGCGCGUGCUCCUGCUCGAGCGCUUCGACCUGCUGCACCAGCGCGGCUCCUCGCACGGCGAGUCCCGCGCCAUCCGCGACACCUACCCGCAGCCGCACUACCCGCCUAUGGUCCGCCUCGCGCGCCGCCUCUGGGACGACGCCCAGCGGGACGCCGGGUACGCCGUGCUCACGCCCACCCCGCACCUCGACCUGGGGCCCCGGGACGAUCCCAACUUCCGCGCCGUCGUCGCCAGCGGCGCCACCGAGCUCGCACCGACGGGGGCCGCGCCGCGGCCGGCGUGGGCGGAGGCGUUCAGGGUGCCGGAGGGGUGGGCGGCGGCGAGCAGCGAGCUGGGCGGGGUGAUCAAGGCGACCAAGGCCGUGGCCAUGUUCCAGGCGCUCGCCGCCAAGAUGGGCGCCGUCGUGAGAGACAGGACGGAGGUGAUCGACGUCGUCGCCGGAAAGAAAUGA
rnacentral:rRNA from 1 species